UACGGAGGGUGCGAGCGUUAAUCGGAAUUACUGGGCGUAAAGCGUGCGCAGGCGGUUAUGUAAGACAGAGGUGAAAUCCCCGGGCUCAACCUGGGAACUGCCUUUGUGACUGCAUGACUAGAGUACGGCAGAGGGGGAGGGAAUUCCGCGUGUAGCAGUGAAAUGCGUAGAGAUGCGGAGGAACACCGAUGGCGAAGGCAAUCCCCUGGGCCUGUACUGACGCUCAUGCACGAAAGAGUGGGGAGCAAACAGG
rnacentral:rRNA from 1 species